CAGGAGUUAGUUUAUAAAAAUAUUGGUUUUGGGGAUCAAUGAUAGAAAAGUUUUCUAUUCCUGA
rnacentral:tRNA from 3 species